ACAGGCUCAUCAUUUGUACAAAUACAGAAGGUAAAACACUUCAUUAUUUUGAUAAAUUGUUUCACAAUUGGGUUAUCAAAUUUGUGUAAACUGACAUUAUUUUCUACUUCUUAGAUGCACAUAAUGUCCAGGGCAUAACCUAUUCUGGUGGAACCAACCUGAUCACUGUGUUCACCAUUCUAUUUCACUUCACAUCUUAUGAUAUCUUUUUGUGAAAAAGAAAGGCGAACUCAGUGAUAAGGUUGGUUACACCAGGCUAAUCAUAACCAUCAUUGAUAAUGUAAUCAGUGAUCUGUGUGUGAGUGGUGUGUGUCUUUAUGUGUGACAGACCAGUAUCUUUGAUGAGCGGCCAGGAGCUGAUCCAUGCUCAUUAAUGGGGCUCUGGCAAAGAGCCUUCAUCCUCACCUCUUUCUUGCCUGUUCACCAACCUUUGUCCAUGGAGAGAACAGAAUUAGUUAAGUCUGACUUGUUCAAACUUCAACAUAGUAUAUGUUAGUGUCAGAUAUCACUUAUCCCUAACUGCCAUUGGUAAUAGAACAAUGAUGGUGUGUAUGUGUUCACAGAUACAUGAGAUGCAGAGAGGCCUGGCACUCAACACAUUCACAAUGAGAUGGACAGGAGGUGCUUUUGCCAGAUGGCAGCCUCAGUCGUUUGAUGGGGAGACCAUAAUUGAAAACAUGCAUGGGGCAAACCUUGUGUAUUCUGCACCAGGAUCAGGGAACAUGGGGAAGGUAGCCCUAUUACCACUAGACAAAAUGCCAAUAGGCACAGUAUUUGUACCGGCUAGGAAUAACAAUGAAAGAUGAAAGGUGCACAUCAAAUCAAAUUUUAUUUGUCACAUACACAUGGUUAGCAGAUGUUAAUGUGAGUGUAGCGAAAUGCUUGUGCUUUUAGUUCCGACCAUGCAGUAAUAUCUAACACAUAAUCUAACCUAACAAUUUCACCAGAACUACCUUAUGCACAAGUGUAAAGGAAUGAAUAUGUACAUAAAAAUAUAUAAAUGAGUGAUGGCCGAACUGCAAAGGCAAGAUUCAGUAGAUGGUAGAGUACAGUAUAUACAUAUGAGAUGAGUAAUGUAGGGUAUGUAAACAUUAUAUAAAGUUGCAUUGUUUAAAGUGGCUGGUGAUACAUUUAUGAGAGCGGGGUGAACAGACGGUGCCUGUGGUUGUUGUCCUUGAUGAUCUUGUCCUUGAUCACCUUCCAGUGACAUUGGGUGGUGUAGGUGUCCUGGAGGGCAGGUAGUUUGUCCCCGGUGAUGCGUUAUGCAGACCUCACUACCCUCUGGAGAGUCUUGCGGUUGUUGGCAGAGCAGUUGCCAUACCAGGUGGUGAUACAGCCCAACAGGAUGCUCUCGAUUGUGCAGCUGUAAAAGUUUGUGAGUGUUUCUGGUGACAAGCCGAAUUUCUUCAGCCUCCUGGGGUUGAAGAGGCGCUGCUGCGCCUUCUUCACCACGCUGUCUGUGUGGGUGGACCAUUUCAGUUUGUUCGUGAUGUGUACGCCGAAGAACUUAACUGCCCACCUUCUCCACUACUAUCCCAUCGAUGUUUAUAGGGGGCUGCUCCCUCUGCUGUUUCCUGAAGUCCAAGAUCAUCUCCUUUGUUUUGUUGACAUUGAGUGUGAGGUUAUUUUCCUGACACCACAAUCCGAGGGCCCUCACCUCCUCCCUGUAGGCCAUUUCGUCGUUGUUGGUAAUCAAGCCUACCACUGUAGUGUCGUCUGCAAACUUGAUGAUUGAGUUGGAGGCGUGCAUGGCCAUGCAGUCAUGGGUGAACAGGGAGUACAGGAGAGGGCUGAGAACGCACCCUUUUGGGGCCUCAGUGUUGAGGAUCAGCGGGGUGGAGAUGUUAUUACCUACCCUCACCACAUUGUUAUAUUUGCAGAACACUGCUUCUAUGGUAUAAUGUAAAGGGUUGUUUAUUGUACAUGGACUUGUUCCUACAUUUGAAAGUUAUCAAAACACUUAGUUUAGAAUAUAUUUUUACUUCUAACUCAUUGUGUUCCUUGUGUAUUAUUUUUCUGUAAUUUUUCUCUGCAUUGUUGAAGGACAUUUCACUGUUAGUCUACACCUGUUGUUUCCGAAGCACGUGACAAAUAAAACAUUUUUUUAAAUUUGAU